UCAGUCGGCCGGACGGCCGCUCCGGCAAGUGCCGAAAGGCCGCCGGGGAGGAAAGUCCGGGCUCCCUUGACAUACGGUGCCGGAUAACGUCCGGCGGGGGCGACCCCAGGGAAAGUGCCACAGAGAACGAACCGCCCGCCGUCGCAGCGAAAGCUGCGUAGGCAGGUAAGGGUGAAAAGGUGCGGUAAGAGCGCACCGCGGCUGCGGCAACGGAGCCGGCAUGGUAAACCCCACCGGGAGCAAAACCGAAUAGGGACGGCAUAGCGGAGUGUUCGCGAAAGCGAUAACGCCGCGGGGCGAUGUCAGGCCCGCCGUCCGGGUAGGUUGCUCGAGGCCAUGUGCAAACAUGGUCCCAGAGGAAUGGCCGUCACGUAUCGUUCGCGCAAGCGGGCGGUGCCCUACAGAACCCGGCUUACAGGCCGGCUGAUAUC
rnacentral:RNase_P_RNA from 1 species